ACUGCAGUUUAUAGGUCUCGGUAACAGUUUACACAGCAUGUCGUGCUCAGUCACUGCGAGCAAUGGCAUUUGAUGCUGCGUCCAUCGUAAGUGGCGAUGACAGCGCUCUUUCCUCCCAGUUCAGUCCGAAAGCAGGUGAUGUCGGCCACGUCCAUCCUGGCCCCGCCGUGCUUUUCUAGGGCCAACCCGUGUGAUCACUUCUUCCCCAUGUUCGUGUCGUCAGUGAAUUCAUUUGGUCCGGAGUGCGUCGUCUCAUUCAGCGCAGUGUACAUUCUCACAGAGGGCCUAGUCAAGACUCUCCUCAGCACGUCUCAGUAUGUAAUGAUGAUGAAUGGGCACGUCGUCGACACCGCUGCAUACCAGCGCAUGACAGGGGAUCAAGCUCGAAGAGCUUCUCCAAGCUUCUGAGGGCCAUCCUGAGUAGCAUCUCCGUGCUCGGUUACAGAGAGCGGUGGUAAGUGGCCCUCCUCUGCGUCGUUGGUGCUCUCCGCUGUUGUCUACGGUGUUUACCUGUUCAAAAUGUUGAGAGCGGCGUUUGCAGCGUGCAUGGUCUUUCUCUUCGUUUUCUGGAUUGCGAACCUUGACGUUUUAUCGGAGCGCUACUAGACGACUGAUGAGGCGCUACCCCGUUCCUGGCGCAUACUUCGCUUCGUGUAUUUUGGCAUUCGUCGUGGAUGGCCAGGUCAUCGAGGCCGCCGUCCGAUUGCUGCUCUCCGAAUUGUUUUAGCUGACUAUCGGCAUCUUCGCCUCCGCUGGUCUGUAGACAAUCAAAAUAAUCGUUUUUAUGUUCAACUGGUGCUGCGAGAGAAACAUGGUGAAGCUCCAGGAGGACCACUGGUUCCUGCUGAGGCAGAAGGCGCUGACGAAGGCCGCCAGCAGAUCGACCACCGAGGCGAGAGGGGCUGAGUGUGCGAGCGUGCCGAAACUCGUUGAGAAUGAGGAGCUGCCGACAUCCAAGACAGGAUGGAAAUCACAGAACGAAAGCGCCGAGCUUAUCCAAUGUGGCGAGUGAGAUUUUGACAACUCUGCAGUGCAAGACGUUUCACCGUUGGUGGCGCAAGUGUGCCUGUGCGGAGCCUUUGAUGUGAGCAAGGAGAUCGUCUCUCGCAACAUCUCUGUUGCCGUCUACGGCGUCAUCAUGACGGCUGGCGUCAUUGCGCUGACGGUGCUUAACAUCAUGGGUACAACCUACCAGCUGCUCUACGGCUGCGUCGGCAUCUUGGUUAUCCUGUGCGCGACCGGCUUCCUCUGCAUCCCUAUGACGAUCAUGAAGGCCAACAUCUUCGGAUGGUGCCAGCAGGUGUCCUACAUCCUCAUCUCCGGCGGGACGGACAACUUCUACAUGUCGGAUGCCAGCUGCCUGCCGGACGGGCCACACUUCUCUCAGACAUUCUACAACACUGUCGGCGCCGUCAUUAGCAACGCUGCCAGCGUGUUUGGUGUGUACCUGUUUGCGCGCGUCUUCUCGAAGCAGAGCUACCGCGUCACGCUAAUUUGCACCACUCUUGUCCAGGUUCUUGCGAGCGUCUUUGACAUCAUCAUUGUCGAACGCUGGAACUUGUACAUCGGCAUCCCGGACCACGCCAUGUACAUCAUGGGUGAUGCUAUCGUGUACGAGGUGUGCUACAUGCUGAACUUCAUGCCACUGAACAUGCUUAUCUCGCGCCUCUGUCCGAAGGGGUACGAGAGCACGAUGUUUGCAAUUUUGGCGAGCUUCAGCAACAUGGGUGCAUCGACGUCGUCCACGAUUGGCGCAAUUCUGAUGGAAACGGUGUGGCCACUCUCCUCCAGCCCGCCGUGUGACUUCAGCAACCUGCGCUGGCUGCUCAUCUCCGGCCACUUCAUCACGCCGCUUAUCGCCAUUCCGCUAGUGAUUGUGCUCAUUCCCGGCACCCGCAUUUACGGCUCCAUGGCCUCGAAGGAGAGGGGACCUCUAUUUUUUCACAAGGGGCUGAUUAAGAGUGGAAAGGGGCUUGCGUCUGUAAAGGACAAGGAUCCCCGUCCUGACGUUGAGCCAGGCAUCUUGAAGCGGAGCGUAUGUGCUCGUCGUUGAAUUUUCCCACCAAAAAAAAAAGAACAUGAAAGACGUCUGGCAGUUUGUUUUCGUUUUAUAAGUUCCUUUGAGUGAAAAGGAAGGUUAGCACAAGAAUGCAGGUAUAUCAACCCUGCGUGCUACAAAAAAUGUAGUACACUGAUUAUGCAACGAUGAAGCGACAAGAAACCCCUUUUGCGUGUAGUGGAGUAAACACCAGCCUGCGGAAUGCUAGCGCGAUAUGUUGCUUUCUAUUCUCUAUUCAGGCGCAGUUUGCAGAUUUUAAUGAGAGGAACGACAGAAGCACUUAACCAAAAGACUGUCUGAAUCCUUGUUAGUAGGCCAUUGUGAUGAUAGUUUUCGGCGCAUGCAUGUCGAGUCGAUUCCCGAGAAAUGCUGGCAUCUUCUUCCUGAAAAAAUGGAGAGGUCGAUCGAAAAGGGGAAUGUCGGUUGAUGCUUGGGCGUACCGGCAAGUGAUGAUGGACGACUCGAGAUUCUUUUCCUUCUUUGUGUGCUUUUUUUUUCCUUACCCUGCCAGCGGUGCUCUUUUGCCACUGCUGUUUUUUUGCUCAUUUAUUCCUCCACCGUUAUCCGCUUGUUUGUGUGUGCGUGUUCUCCGUUCUCCUCGACAAACGACAUUUAGUCCCACCUGCUCUGUUUCUUUGCCCAUUCUACAGUGUGUGUCUACCUCGUUGCAAUCACCUUGCUCUUCUCUUGUCGCAACGCUCUUGCUACUCCCUUUUUUCGUUGUCCUGUUGGUCGACGGUCAACUCACCCUCGUGGACGGAGGCUCCCCUAAGAGCUACGAAAAAAUAUUGUGAGAGGACCUGCUGCGCAGAUGUUCGAUCUGUGAGCGAAAGCAUCCGAGCUGUGGAGCUGGCUGUAUUUUUUGUUUACUCGCUUCUCGAAAAAAAAAAUACUAGUGCAUGCAGUUGGGUGCUCGGUGUUGCCUUUCGUGGCAAGUUGUUGCUGUCUUCUUUGUACCUCACAGUGUCGUUAUUCGAUCGAAUCUAUUGAUCAAAAAGCCGUUGUGUCUCUCUACUCCUCAACGCUCGAACUUUAAGUGCCGCUGCCCCUGAGACCAUACCGCACCUUUUCGUAAAUUAGAAAGACGGAUACCGCCUUACACCUCGCGAAGCCGCCGAGAUGGCGCAGGAGCCAACCAUAUGUAGCUUCCGGGAAGGCGUUGAAGCUGACGGAAGUCUCCCACACGACAAAAGGAAAAAGGUCUGUGCAGCUGCUCGAGUGAAAGGAACCAAGAAUGAGAAACGUGAUAGCGGUGUGGACGACUCCAUGUAAGCGUGUUUUCAAGAGGCGGAGGCUUUGGCAUUUUCUUUACUUUUGCAAGCAUUUGAUGCUCUUUUUUCUUUGGUUUGCUGUCGCUCUUCUCGCUAUUUUGCCCCUCCUUGUGGGUGGACUUUUUUUCGCGUGUGUGUGUGCUCUUUUGUUUUUGCACAAGCAUGCAUCGAAUGACCACUUGGAUUGUGCAUCGCGCUCUUGGUUGUCCUGCCUU
rnacentral:misc_RNA from 1 species